CUUUCAGCGCCUGCAGGUUCCGGGAGGUCAGGUUGUAUUCCUGGCGGGUCGUCUGGCUGGCUCCCAGCCGAGGACGUCGGAUGUCAUCGUCCUUGCUGCUUUGCCACCCCAUUCCCGUCAAUAAAGUGGUUUGAACCCAA
rnacentral:lncRNA from 1 species